AACGAAAAAAAAAGGAAAAAAAACAAAAAAAAAGGCAUAAAUACACCACGUUGCAAACGACGAGUUCCAGUAGACAAUCCAUGGGUCAUACGUAUUGAACACAUAUACUCGUACAUAUGUACGGUACCACCGAAGAGAAGUAAUUCUGUACCGGCUUGAUACCUCUCAAGGCAGGCAGCGAUUGGAUAAAAGCGAUGCACAUCAGGACACAAUUCAAACUUUCUCGCUAUCACCCAGGCAACAACAAACCAAUACACUUCGGAGCAUCCUAACACAUUAUGCGAUGACGAGUUCAUAUACAUACAUAGGACAUUUAUCGAGCCUCUCAAGGCAGGCAGCGAUUGGAUAAAAGCGAUGCACAUCAGGACACAAUUCAAACUUUCUCGCUAUCACCCAGGCAACAACAAACCAAUACACUUCGGAGCAUCCUUACACAUUAUGCGAUGACGAGUUCAUAUACAUACAUAGGACAUUUAUCGAGGGAUGGAUCGACGGAAAAUGUAACCGACAAGCAACACGAAAGGUGUUCAGCUAUGGAUGGAACAAAGGAUCAUACGACACAAGGCAUCUGAGGGAUACAGUAAUUAAAUCGGAAGCAUUCUAUUCACACAUAUGGACACAAUUGAGAUUUCGUAGAACUGUGGAGUAGGCCUACUGGGGAUACCACGUUAAAAAAAACGCGCCUAGAACUUUACCAAAUGCUGGUGGUGUGGAAAAGAGUUCAUCUAUUUUCCGAUGCUCCUACGUGCUGUGCCGCCGGAAGCUAGCCAGUCAUAUAGAAUACUGUUACUGGAUUAGUGCAGCAUAUUCCAGGCGAAAGUCUUCUCCAUUAGUAAAGCUAGAAGUGGUCAAUGUCUACGUGGCGAAACGAUACAUUCCAAGCCGCGUUAGGUUUCAAAAUAAAUCGGUUUAUAAACAUAAUGUCGAGUCUUGCAUUUUAGAAACACUUUUUGUCUUUUUUGAUUAAAUUAUAUUAUGUAAAUAUAAAUUCAUUUUCAUUUAUUAUAAAGCUAUUCACGGUGUAGUGUUUCUUAAAUGAGUAGAAAAAAACAUGAAAAAUUAAACACGAAAAUAAACAAAAUGGAUAAUAUCCUAGACGACAGCGAGAGGAUCUCGGUCUUGCCUGUCCUAUAGGACCCUAUUCCUCAGAAUUGAGUAUCACGCAUUGGCUCUAGCUUUAGUAUUCCUCUUGGAUCCUCUCGGAUUUCUUGGCCAGGAGGGGAGUAAUGGGCUGGUCCUUCCUGUUGGCCCGCUCCACCUGCUUAGCCUCCUUGUCACCAUAGAUAUCCAGGUCCCGGCCGUAGUACCAGACCAGGUAAUCAAAUAACAUUCCAAUGAAGGGUUCUUCCACCAAUAAACCAAAAAAUAUUGCCAAGGCUCCAAGCAACCUUAGAUAUUUUGAAGAUACUUUUUCGGGAAGAUUCAGCCUUUGCAGAAAGAAACACCAAAAAGAACUGCCUGCAUCCCUGGGAAAGUAAUCACUUUACGAGUAUCAAGGAUAUACUCGUACACGAAAACCCCUUCCGCAUGCCGCAACUACCCCAAUGUCAAUCGCCGGCUCGGGGCUGCCCAGAUAGUAGUGGCUCCCACAAUCGGAAUGCCAGACAGGUGCACGUAAAUAGUACUACACAUACUAUACUCGUAUAUGUGGUACAAUACGUACUUUCGGGACCUGAACAUGUC